rnacentral:lncRNA from 1 species
ACCAUAUCUCACCCAAAUGGGGGAAAAGAAAAAACAAAAGAAUGAAUCAUAAAUCACAAAUCAAUUUUGGUAUACAAAUUACUAGUCAUGGUUAUAACUAAAUACAACAUCUCAAGUGAACGAACCUCAACAAAUUAUGAAACGAAACACGAAACAAUCAGCAGUAGCUCAAGUUAUUGGUUUUUAUUCUCUGCAAAAACAGAACAAACCAGAGAAAUGAGAGACAAAAACAGCAGCGAUAUUUACAUAACUCAAGCACAUUAACAAAAACAUGGGAACGAGGAAAAAGAAAUGAACUUUAAACCAAAUUCAUAAAACCGAAACGAAAAAUGGAACUUUUUUGUUCGAUUUUUUGUUCUGCUGAGAGAUUUUGUUGACAAAAACAAAAGAACCCAGAAAUGCUAAAGAGGAAGAGAGAGAAAUCAAUACGUGAUCGUAGUGUUAAAAAAAAAAAAAACCUCACAACAGUAGUCAGAUGGCAGCAGGGGAGCACCGUGACAGCAGCAACAAUUGAUAGUAGGUGACAGCGGCAAGUGACAGUGGCAGCAGCAGCAGAUGACAGCGGCUACAGCAGGUGGUAGCGGCGGCGGAGAGUCGUGAAGGACAAGCAGCAGCAGCAGCGGGGACGAGAUUCCAGCGGCUGAAGGUGCUGCGGCUUCGGUUUUCGGCUGAAGAUCAGAAGAAAUGAAGAAUGUGUUUAGUUUAGAC